rnacentral:lncRNA from 1 species
AGCUAAAGCCCUUGUGCUUGUUCUUUGGCAGUAAAGCUGUGCGUGUAUCAGUGGUUUGACUGGACUCAGUUGUAUUUUGAAGGAACGUGUUGAUGUGAUUUGUGCCGCAGAUCUCAGCGGAGCUGCAGAACGAGCUUCUGCUGAGUUUGCUGGACACAGACAGUGAUGUGGUGCAUUAUCUGCUGAGGAGGAAAACACCACAGUGUGAAGACGUGAAGAGCUCCAGUGGAGAAAUCUCUCCGUACGAUAACAACUCUCCGGUGCUCUCCGAGUGGUUUCAUCCAUCAGGACCGGAGCAUCAUGCUCUCGAGAGGAACAACACUGUGAACUUCUGCCUCUCACCCUCACAAGCCAGCGCCGGGGAAACCAUACAUGAUAAGGCUCGUAUCUGGCGAACACGACACGCUCUUCUGUCAGGACUUCAUGACAAACUCCUCACAGGUUCGGAUGGACACCUGUAUAAACGCGCCUCCUCUGAUGUUUUCUAUGAUGACGAUAACGACAUGAAACCUGUGCAUGAGAUGCAAACGUCCUAUACAAACGUCGCCGCUGAAUGUAGAGCGCGCCUGCAGGUCACAAGUGCAGACGGCAGUCCUCUGAGCUCCCCGCGCCAUCAAAUGCAUCCUAUUGCAUCGAGCCGAACUGCAUUUCACCAAUCAGAGGAAGCGAUGGCAUCUCCUGCCAAACCAGACGACAUACUUCCUGCCGUGUCCAUGCAGCCGCGUGUCACUUCCUGUCAGGGUGCGGCGUCACACGUGCCAUCGAAGAGCUUCGGAGCAGAGCAGCAUCCAGACUGGCCCACAGAGAAGUGGCAAAUAUGGCAACUCCUGUCAUCAGACAGCAUAGACACACUUCCGGAGACUAUGGUGUGAAACACGCAGCUUAAAGGGACAGUUCACCCAAAAAUGAACUUACUGUCAUCAAAAGAAGAGAUUUGAAGGACCCCAUUGGCUUUCAUUGAAUGAGGCAUUUCUCAAGAUAUUUUCUUUUAUGUGCCACAGAAGAAAAAAAAGGCAUACGGGUUUGGAAUGAGUGAAGGAUGACAGAAUUAUCGUUUUUGGGUGAACUGUCCCUUUAAGAACCUUUUAAUUUGAGAGUCAAUGUUAAUUGAAUUGGAUGCAACACACAGAAUGUUGAAUUAGAAUUUGAAUCGGAAUGAGCGGAAGCACCACAAAAUGUUAGCGCAUUGUUUACAGAUAAUUUUAUAAAAAUAAUUAUUGAU